rnacentral:rRNA from 1 species
AGAAUCAACGCUGGCGGCGUGCCUAACACAUGCAAGUCGAACGCGAAAGUCCCGAAAGGGAUUAGUAGAGUGGCAAACGGGUGAGUAACACGUGGGUGACCUGCCUUCGAGUGGGGGAUAACGUCCCGAAAGGGACGCUAAUACCGCAUGACAUCCUGCUUUUAAGAGGUGGAGAUCAAAGCUGGGGAUCGCAAGACCUGGCGCUUGAAGAGGGGCCCGCGCCUGAUUAGCUAGUUGGUGGGUAACGCUCACCAAGGCAACGAUCAGUA